rnacentral:lncRNA from 1 species
GAAAACAAAAGUAAAAGAACCCUAAACCUAAACUGGUUCCUCUCUCGGCGGCUGCCCCCUCCCUUGGCAAAAAAAAAAAACAAAGAGAACCGAGGCCGCCACCAUCUCCUUCCCUCACCAGAUCCCCCCCCCCCUCCCUUGACUUUUGCAAAACAAACCAGAGAGCACAAGACAGCCCCUGACUCUUUUCCCCAUAGCCAUUUCCAGCACCGUCUCUAGCUCCUUUUCCCGCUACAACAGCCAAAGCAGCCGACUUCCUUUUUCCCUUUCACCCGAACGGCCGCCUCCCUCCCUUGAGAAAGAAAAUCUAGAGAAACCCCUGCUUUGGGGGGGCUUUUGAUUUUCAGCUUCUUCUCCCUUCAGCCGGGCAAGUCCCCCUCGUCCUCUGUCAAAAAAAAAACGAGCCUUCACCCAUUUUCCCCCAUAGCCGGCCAUCAACACAAACUCUCAGCCCCCCACAGACCAACCUCCCCUGCACGCCGGCCUUCACGGUCUCCCUCGCUCGGCUCUCCCAAAACCAGAGGCCAGCCGUGGCCCCCUUAAUUUGCCCUCUGUCAAAAAACAAGCCGGCCAGCCACCUCUCCUUUCAUCUCUAGACUGAACAUAGCGGCAGCCUCCGCUGUAUUCUUCAGCUGCUCCCGUCUCCGCCUCAGCCACGGUCUCCCUCUCCGGGCCAACCACAGCCCCCGGCCCUCACAGGUCUCCACCGAAUAGACCCCACCACAGCAGCAGCCGAUCUCCUUCACCUCCAAUCGGCCAGCUCGCCUAGACCGAAUCGGAGCCUCCAGUAGCAGCCUGACACAGCGGCGCCCACAGAUCCCAGAUCUGUCCGCCUCCAGCCUCCAGCCUCCAGCCCUCCUUCCUCAGGCGCCAGGUCUGCGACCUGAAGAAGGAAAGAACAGAAAACCAAGGGGAAGAAAGAAGACCGGGAGCAGAUCUGAGAAGGAGAAAACAAAAUAAAAACCACUGCUUGUUGCGUUUUUUGACUUUGUAGGUGACGUCACCUCCCACCGCCAGUGCAGAAAGAGGGAGGAGGAGAAAACGUACCAUUAAAAUAUAACAUGUUUCUACUUAUAUUCUGAGAUUUAAUAAAUGAUUUAUUAAAAUCUUAAAAUUU